AAAGCAGAAGCCUUUGGGUUAUUUCUAUUUAUCUAUUUCCUGAUUAAUCUUAUUUACUGGCUAAAUAAUAAUAAAAUUAUGACCAAAUAUUUAAUAUUUUAUCUGUAACAUCCAAAGUUUGUCAUGAAAUCAAUAUAACAUUUCAGAUGCGACCCAGUUACAGAGCACGGCACUACUUUUCCUUCUCCAUAUGAACAAAUAAACCUGAAUUGUACAAAAUCCAGUAAGACUUCUUAUUUCUUGGAAGAAAGACAUCGAUAUUCUUGGAACUGAGGGUAUUAAGUCUUUUCUGGCCAGUAUAUACAUCAGCUCCUAACAGUGGAUCAUUAAGGAUUAAGGAUUAAUUUAAUCAUUAAGGAUUAAAAAUUUGUUCCUGUAAAUGUUUCAGUUGUCCCGUCAACGAUCAAGUCAGAUGAUCCAAAGGCUGAUAAAGUGCCGAGUCUCAUAUGAAAUUUUUACUCUGAACAAAACUACACAAAAUAUAUCUAGAACAACCAGAGACAGUCAUGGAUUUUUAUUGCCAAAAAAAUAUUACCCACAUUUUCACUCUACUUCCGUGUGCCUCUUCUGAUUUAUUACCUACCCUUCUCAUCUCACCUUCUCAGACAAGUUGACUUGCACCAGUUGACAACUUUGCCCUCUCACCUUCCUUGUUUUUGACCAAUGGAUGGCAUCAGAAGACAGGGCAAAUGGAUGAGGCAUGUAUUUCCUAGUUUCUUCCUGAGGCAGCCUGCAUCUAUGACUUGGGGACGAGAUUAUGGAAAUAGAGGCAACUCUGCAGUUCAACAUUUCUUAAAGAUCCCAUCAGGACAUCCUGAGUGGCUGCUGCAGCUCUGUCUGGAAAUGGUAUGUACCUGCCAUCAGAAUGAAGCCACAUGGUCUUUGCUUCUUCACAUCACUAACUUGCCAUUCAGAUCUGAACUGCUGAAAAACCUGGCAGAAAUAGAACUUUGACAACGCAGAAAGCAUUGGAAGUCCAGUGGAAAAAUAAAACAAUUUUGCUGAAAUUAGCUUCA
rnacentral:lncRNA from 1 species